rnacentral:piRNA from 1 species
UCCUGAGGUCUGCUACUCACGGAACCCAGUU